GACGAACGCUGGCGGCGUGCCUAAUACAUGCAAGUUGAGCGCUGAAGGUUGGUACUUGUACCAACUGGAUGAGCAGCGAACGGGUGAGUAACGCGUGGGGAAUCUGCCUUUGAGCGGGGGACAACAUUUGGAAACGAAUGCUAAUACCGCAUAAAAACUUUAAACACAAGUUUUAAGUUUGAAAGAUGCAAUUGCAUCACUCAAAGAUGAUCCCGCGUUGUAUUAGCUAGUUGGUGAGGUAAAGGCUCACCAAGGCGAUGAUACAUAGCCGACCUGAGAGGGUGAUCGGCAACAUUGGGACUGAGACACGGCCAAACUCCUACGGGAGGCAGCAGUAGGGAAUCUUCGGCAAUGGACGAAAGUCUGACCGAGCAACGCCGCGUGAGUGAAGAAGGUUUUCGGAUCGUAAAACUCUGUUGGUAGAGAAGAACGUUGGUGAGAGUGGAAAGCUCAUCAAGUGACGGUAACUACCCAGAAAGGGACGGCUAACUACGUG
rnacentral:rRNA from 1 species